GGGCCAGAAUCGAAACUCGCGCGUUCCAAAACAGCGGAGAAACGAGUCGACGACGUCUGUUGUUUUACGGGAUUUCCGGAGGAGAAUUCGGUUGUGCGUAACUAGCGAACCUAGUGGCGGUCCGCGUCGGAAAGCUAACAAGUUCCGUGUGAAUUUCAACAACCGAACCCUAUGGGUCACGUGCGUCGACGUGAGGCUUUGCUGCCCUUCUCGCCGACUUAAUAUUGCCGACAAUCGUUAAUAAUACAAAUAUAAAUAAACAAAUACGAAAGAUCGCAGCGUAAGUAACACAUUGGAAAUAUUCAGGUUUUAAAGUGCAACUGUAAACGCCUUUUUUCCCUCGGUGUAAACCUCUGGAAUAUCAUUUGGAUUGACAUCGACAGACACGUCCCUUUCUACGCAUUGAUUAUGACGGACGGAGAAAAAAACCGGCCUCGAUUCACUGUUGAUCGUAAGCAUUUACAUUCUUCUCGUUGUUGCAGAGGAAACUGGUUAGACGAUAAAUGCAAAUUCUAAAUAAAUUAUCGAAACGAUAUUAUAAACGUAAACGUAUUUUUAAAAUUCAGUUGAAUUCUAAUUUUCGGGGCGCUAAGCCCUCCGGUCCCCUCUAAACACGCCUAUGAUCGUGUGAGUUUCGAACGGGUAUUCAACCCGUAUCGUAAAUCACAUGAUUCGUAAUAUGGAAAUUCUCACGUUCCGUUUCAGCGAUAGAUUAUCGGAACUCGCACGUUACAAACU